rnacentral:rRNA from 1 species
GAAUCCCGUCUUUGGCACGGAAACCCCAGGGCUUUUGUGAUGCGCUCUCGAAGAGUCGAGUUGUUUGGGAAUGCAGCUCAAAAUGGGUGGUGAACUCCAUCUAAAGCUAAAUAUUGGCGAGAGACCGAUAGCGAACAAGUACCGUGAGGGAAAGAUGAAGAGCACUUUGGAAAGAGAGUGAAACAGUACGUGAAAUUGUUGAAAGGGAAACGCUUGAAGUCAGUCGCGUCGACCGAGACUCAGCCUUGCCCUUGGCUUGGUGUACUUCUCGGCUGACGGGUCAGCAUCAAUUUUGCCCCUUGGAUAAUGGCGAGGGAAAUGUGACACCUUUACGGUGUGUUAUAGUCUCUUGUCGCAUGCAAGGGUUGGGAUUGAGGAACUCAGCACGCACCUUUGGGUGUCGGGGCUUUGCCCACGAUACGUGCUUAGGAUGUUGGCGUAAUGGCUUUAAACGACCCGUCUUGAAACACGGACCAAGGAGUCUAACAUGCCUGCGAGUGUUCGGGUGGAAAACUCGUGCGCGCAAUGAAAGUGAAAGUUGGGACCUCUGUCGUGGAGGGCACCGACGCCCGGACCAGACCUUCUGUGACGGCUCUGCGGUAAAGCAUGUAUGUUAGGACCCGAAAGAUGGUGAACUAUGCCUGAAUAGGGUGAAGCCAGAGGAAACUCUGGUGGAGGCUCGUAGCGAUUCUGACGUGCAAAUCGAUCGUCAAAUUUGGGUAUAGGGGCGAAAGACUAAUCGAACCAUCUAGUAGCUGGUUCCUGCC